AACAAACGCUGGCGGCGUGCCUAACACAUGCAAGUCGUACGAGAAAAGGUUCUUCGGAACCUGAGUAAAGUGGCGCACGGGUGAGUAACGCGUGGAUAAUCUGCCUUUUAGUUAGGAAUAACUCAUCGAAAGGUGGGCUAAUACCUGAUAAAACUGUUUUACUUUGGUAUGACAGUCAAAGAGAGCCUCUGUAUACAAGCCUUCGCUAAAAGAUGAGUCCGCGUACCAUUAGCUAGUUGGUAGGGUAAUGGCCUACCAAGGCUACGAUGGUUAGCUGGUCUGAGAGGAUGAUCAGCCACACUGGAACUGAGACACGGUCCAGACUCCUACGGGAGGCAG
rnacentral:rRNA from 1 species